UUGCCCCCAUUCCCUUUCUUCUUCUAAAACAAAUAGACGUCAAACAUCAAAGCCUCUCUCGGUUACUAAAAGAAGACCUCAAAUAUUUUCCAUUAUGUUUGACAUGGUUUUGGGUUUCGCCAGCCAGUUGGAGUAACAAGAACCGGAGAAAAACGAUGACGUCCUUAUUUUUGGUGGUGGUGGUGGUGGUGUUGUUGUUGUUGUUGUUGCUACACAGUCUCCGCUCUCGAGCCUGCGCUGUGAUCUUUGCCGGCUGCAAUUAUUCAAAGGUUUGCACACACUGCAGGAGGGAUCUUGGCCCACUCCUCCACGCAGAUCUUCUCUACAUCAGACGGGUUGCUGAGCUGCCGCUGAGAAACACGGACUUUCAGCUCCCUCCAAAGAUUUUCUAUUGGGUUUAGGUCUGGAGACCUUGAUAUCCGUCUUCCGGAGCCACUCCUUGGUUUUCCUGGCUCUGCGCUCCGGGUCAUUGUCUUGUUGGACGACCCAUCUUCAAUCCUCUGACUGUGGGAAAGAGGUUGUUCCCCAAAAAUCUCACAAUACGUGGCCACGGUCAUCCUCUCCUUAAUACAGUGCGCAGUCGUCCUGUCCCGUGUGCGGAAAAACACCCCCAAAGCAUGAUGCUACCACCCCCGUGCUUCACAGUAGGGACGGUGUUCUUGGGAUGGAACUCAUCAUUUGUUUUCCUCCAAACACGGUUUGAUCGGGAGUACGGCUGUUUGUCUCUAUGUGCCCUGCGAUUGGCUGGCAACCAGUUCAGGGUGUACCCCGCCUACUGCCCGUUGACAGCUGGGGACUGGCUCCAGCACUCCCUUUGACCCUCGUGAGGAUAAACGGCAAA